ACUCCCUGCUUAGAGCUCACUACAGUUGGAAUGAUAGAGAGAAGAUUAGCAUGUCCCCUGUGCAAGGAUGACACACAAAUUCAUGAUCUAAAGAUAGAGGUC
rfam:Chelonia mydas contig189903, whole genome shotgun sequence.